GCGGAUGUAGCCAAGUGG
rnacentral:tRNA from 3 species